rnacentral:rRNA from 1 species
UGGGGAAUUUUGGACAAUGGGCGAAAGCCUGAUCCAGCAAUGCCGCGUGAGUGAAGAAGGCCUUCGGGUUGUAAAGCUCUUUUGUCAGGGAAGAAACGGUGAGGGCUAAUAUCCCUUGCUAAUGACGGUACCUGAAGAAUAAGCACCGGCUAACUAUGUGCCAGCAGCCGCGGUAAUACGUAGGGUGCAAGCGUUAAUCGGAAUUACUGGGCGUAAAGCGUGCGCAGGCGGUUUUGUAAGUCUGAUGUGAAAUCCCCGGGCUCAACCUGGGAAUUGCAUUGGAGACUGCAAGGCUAGAAUCUGGCAGAGGGGGGUAGAAUUCCACGUGUAGCAGUGAAAUGCGUAGAUAUGUGGAGGAACACCGAUGGCGAAGGCAGCCCCCUGGGUCAAGAUUGACGCUCAUGCACGAAAGCGUGGGGAGCAAACA